rnacentral:lncRNA from 1 species
CUAUCAGAGAACCAGCAACUGGAAUUAAUAACAGAGUCUGUCAGUAGCUACAGCAGCCCAGUCCAGUGAAGACACCAUGAAGAAGAACAAUCUGUUUGAUCUGCCUCAUCAAAGAGCCAGCCCAGGCCAAGCUAGAUGAAAGCUAGAAAAAAGCAAGAAAGGAGAAAAAGUGGGAGUCAAGAGGAGAAAGAAGAAGACAGUGAAGAAAGAAGGAAGCAGGAGAAGAAGCAAGCAAGUUUUCACUUGUGAAUGAAUAGAUCUGCUGAUUGGGCUUAAUUUCCAACAUUUUGGGAAGCUGGAAUGUAGGUGGAGAAGGUAGAAUGGCUCCAAAGAACAUUAACAAGGGAGGCUGAUCAUCGACUUCCAGGCAAGCAGGAGAGGGGAACCCCCCCCCCAAAAAAAACAGUGAAAUUGGCCUCUCCAUUCAUUCCACAGGCUCAGGU